AAAAUUAUAAGGAAUUUAAAAUGGCACAAACUACAAAGUUUGUAUUUACAUUCCUCGUUAUAAAACAGUGAUCUCAACAUUCAUCUGCUCUAACUAUAGAUUUGUACCCCCUUGCACCAAAAAGGAUGGUUUAUAUUGAUAGUAAAAACCCCAAGACACUAAUCUUCUUAGCAAAUGUGCUUCUGCAUCUUCCAACGGUUCUAGCUAUAAUGAGUCCAUAUCGAACCAUUCACCGUACGCCUAACCAGGCUCAUUCACGGAUGGCAAUUUACGCCCAACCAACAUUGCUU
rnacentral:lncRNA from 1 species